ACUGGGUGACAGAGCAAGACUCUGUCUCCAAAAAAGAAGAAAAAAGAAGAAGAAAGAAAAAGAAAACAAACAUUUCUCCUGGUCUGCCUCUCCAUCCUCCAUCAUGGCUCUGAGGCUCCCAGGUCACUGGUGGGAGCUUUCCCAGUUGGGCCUGCCUGGGAAUCUACAGCCAUUGUCAUCUGCUACCAGCGAGUAGAUGAACACCUGCUGAGUAAGAAGCUCCUCCUGGGGCGUGGAGGUGGAGGCAGGGAAUCCCCUCCUUGCAAAGGAGCUCAGGCAUAAUGAAGAAGUGCUGAUGGACACACAGGAAUUCCCACUCUUCUUUGUUCAGCACUCCAAUGUGAAGAGGUUGAAAGGAGGAUGGUGUCACAGAUUGAAAUGGAAACUUGGUUCCUGUCAUCCUCACUGGCUUUGUUUCGCAGCUGAGAGACUGAAUAUACAAAUGGGCAAUGGCCAGAUCAGAUAUAAAAAUAGAAUUCAGACCCACAGUCUACAGCACCCAGCCCAGGAAACCAGCUCAUGACCUACUGUUACCAGCCCAGGAAGCAGGUCUGCUGCAGACCAGACUCACAGAAGUCAGAUCACUGUCUGUAGUAACAACCCAUGAAGCCAGACAAUAACCUCUGCACGAUGCCCCCAAAUGGCCAGGAGUUAAUUAAUUAUGGACAGCUUCCUUGAUUUUCUUCCCUGAUUCCAAUAUAGGACCAACCAGAGAAAGUCAAAUAUGCACCUCUAAUUAUUCAUAUAGGAUGUCAUGCUUCUAGUUAGCCCACCUCCAUGUAGGUGCUCCCACCCGAUGCCAACAACCUCCCAUCAGGGUGAGCUUGAAGCCUUCCCUCUUUGCCAUUUUAAAGCUUUCCCACUUACCUGCCUGCCUUUGAUUCUCUGCCAAAAUGUAAAAGAUAGUGGCCGACUCCCUUGGUGUAUAUAUAGCAAGCUCUGAAUAAAUGGC
rnacentral:lncRNA from 1 species